GUGGAUGGCGGCAGCUACACAUGCAGUCGUACGAGAAGGUUCUUUCGGGAACUGGAGAGUGGCGCACGGGUGAGUAACGCGUGGGGACCUACCUCUUAGUGGGGGAUAACGGUUGGAAACGACCGCUAAUACCGCAUACGCCCUUCGGGGGAAAGAUUUAUCGCUAAGAGAUGGACCCGCGUUGGAUUAGAUAGUUGGUGAGGUAACGGCUCACCAAGUCAGCGAUCCAUAGCUGGUUUGAGAGGAUGAUCAGCCACACUGGGACUGAGACACGGCCCAGACUCCUACGGGAGGCAGCAGUGGGGAAUAUUGGACAAUGGGCGCAAGCCUGAUCCAGCCAUGCCGCGUGAGUGAAGAAGGCCUUCGGGUUGUAAAGCUCUUUCAGAUGCGAAGAUGAUGACGGUAACAUCAGAAGAAGCCCCGGCUAAUUUCGUGCCAGCAGCCGCGGUAAUACGAAAGGGGCAAGCGUUGUUCGGAUUUACUGGGCGUAAAGGGCACGCAGGCGGUCCUGCCAGUCAGGGGUG
rnacentral:rRNA from 1 species